AGAGCACGCGCCCUUCAAGUAUCCCUCGCACAUUAUGCCAGUGUUUCUUGUCGUGCUUCUACCAUCUUUGUCUGCACUCGAUUAAUACCCGUACUUGAUUAUUUUAGACUUGUGGCCAGCUUUUGGUGAGGUGUUCUUUCUCAUUCGAUGCGACAUUUCGAGUUAGAUUCGUUCUGUAAUAACACAAUAGUCUAAUGUUACGUAGGAUUAGUUUUCUCUUCUACUUCAUAUUUCGGUUGAACGCGAACUUAGAAAAUAUAUAGCUCUUUUUCCGAUAUUAUAUCUUCAACAGAUCUUGAUGUAAGUGGUGUACUUCUUCAUUCUUUCAAUUAGGAAUUCAGACAUUUUUUUCGCCGGUAAAAUCCGCGUAAAAUAAUGUUAUUUCUCGUUACAUUUCCGUAUCAAAAUAAAAUCAAGUCAAGGGAAUCCCGUCAACUUCAAUCUUUACAGUUGAUUUUGCUUUCGCAGCAGAGAUCGCGCGCUUGACAUAUUUUAUCUCGCGAUUUGAUAAUUUUUUUGCACAUUGUUAACUUGGUCAGAUAUUUCAUGUAAUUAAGUCUUUUUCUCUGUACAUAUUUCGUUUGGAAUUAUACAAAGAAUUUGUCAGCUCAUUAUAAUUACGACAGUGCUUUUUUCCUAUUCGUAUUCGUUCAUUUUUUAAUUGAAUAAAUAUGCGAUAGCAGCAUCACUCUAAUAAAUUCGUCUACUUUGAACAAGAUAUAAUCAUAUUCUUCACUUUUUACGAUUGAUUUUUUUCCUCGAACACGCGGCGUGAAAAGGAGUUCUAUAAAAUAAAAAAAAAUGUAACGUAACACCUGCUUCGUAUGUAUGCGGGCCCCACGUGUGCCUCGUUCGGUUGAAAAUUUUUUGUAAGAGGGGAAUGGCGUGCGCCCGCGUCGCGUUCGAGAGAGGAACAUAACAUACAUCAGUCCACCUGCUACGACUAGCUGACCUGACUGCAUCGAGAAACCGUAUCCCGUGCAAUCAGUCCUCCCAGAUGGCCCGGGAAACAAGAGAUUUCACCAACCAAAAAAUUGCUGACAAAUGGAGGACUGUCUACAAAAUGAAACUAACGAUAUACAAUUGUAUCGACACUCUGUACAAUGAGUCAAGACCUCAGAGGAUUCUAGAAUCAUCAAAUUGAAAAAUUCAGAAAUAUUGAAAUAGCCAAUUACAGGCGUUUGAAUUGGUACAAUUUCCCUUUCCCUCUCUCCGUUUCUCGUUUUCCCAGCGCAAUUGCACAAAUUCUUAUGAGAAGAGGAGGACGAUGCCAAAAGCUCCCGAGAAGCACCAGCCGAGUAACAGUAUCCCAGCCAAUCACAGACAUCCGAUACCGUCCGGGUUUUCUCUCUCUUCCUCCUCCUUAUCUCCCUUAGUGACGCUUCAUAUUCCUUUGGCAUUUUUCGCAGUAGCUUAUUUAUUUUCUCCGCUCUAGCUGCUAUCUCGUUAUCACCAGAUAUCUCUUUUUUUAAGAUUUCUUUCCCAUCACUUUUGCAACACUACGCCCCGUGUCAGUAUUCUUAUUUCUCCUUUACUUCUUGCUUUGCUUGAAUUCGAAUUUCAAUUGAUUCUCUCUUUUUUUCAGUGAAAAUCAUACUCGACGUCAAUAACUUCGUCAGCUGCAGCAGCAGAGCUGCGCAUCGUCUACUCGCAGGAUUAAUGAUAGCUUCCAUUCCCCCUGCAACAACAAAAAAUAAUAAUAAAAGUCGAGACAGACGGCUGCCACACUGGUGAAAAAGCAUGAACUCGUGGACGAGAUAGAGGGAGAGCAAAAAAAUCCCCAGAAAGAGUAGCCGAGGGAAAACGAGGGCCGUAACGACGUUCCCCGCGGCGGAAAUUUCGUUGGCCUCGCGCGCUCGACGGCAUCGUUAACCGUAUUCGGGCCCCGAGAUUGGGAGUCAAUUCAAGGUGUAGCGCGGCGCAAGAGCGACGAGUUCUUAACGCUGAUAAAUUGGAAAACUUUUCUACUGCUCGAGCCCCCGCGAAGUAGUGCGAUUGAAUAUUUUUUUUCUUUCUCUCUCUAUUCAACCCGCAUCGUCAAAUUCGAGCUUCGUCGCGAGUCCAUGCAAAUCUUACACGAUUUUUCCUUCGUCACUUUUUCGUCGGAAUCAGGUAUCUUAAUUAAUAAUUAGAAACUGUUGUCCUUUUUACUGAUCAUUUAAUUUACACGGAUCGUAUAAUGUUAUUCAUCGAUAAAAGUAAACCGAAAAAUUUUGAAUCCAUCCAUUAAUCUCUCACGUGAAAAUUAAGCAGACGUCUGAAAAAUCAAUAAUCCCGGUCGAUUGCUUGGUACGAAAAUAAAACGUCCUGGUGGCUUGGGUGAGAAUCUCAUCUUUCUGCUCUUCGUGAACCUUUCCAUAAACAAUAUUCACAUUAUGUGGGAGAUAACAGCGAGGCUUGGCGGCAAGCGUGUUCGAACAGUACUUGCGUACUUUAAUCUGUGCGCGCUCAAUUAAUUUUCAGAACGUAUAGUAGAGAGAGAGAGGGAGGGGGGGUGAGAAAAAGAGAGGAUAGGAGAGGGAGAGGAAGCUUGCCGUGACAAUAACGAGUCUAUUCGAAUCUGCACGCUGCCGUCUGAAUGCGAGUUCUCGAUGUUUAAUUUAAAACGUACGAUGUUGUACAUUGACAUGAUAAAUUUGAAAGAGUGAAUAGUCUGUUACAACUCGAGGUCGCGAAAGUAUUAGCAAGCCCAUUGCAUGUUAGAGGCUUCGCCUCGGUUGUCAAUUCUCACAUUAUAUGAAGUUACCAAUAACUUCCCGUCCUGGGUACGUAAUCUAAUAUUUCAUUAACUUGGCAUUUAUUGUUUUGGUUUAGUCCAAGUUUCCACGCGUGGCCUCGACAAUGAUCGCUGAGUAAUUACAUAAAUUCAACCGAUCAUUUUUUAUAUUACGUUUCACUUAACUGGGCAGAGUGCGAAAUUGAACAUCUGAUAAAAAAAAUGUCAUAAUAAGCGACAUUAUCAAAGUUUUUUCUAAACGUGAAAUACGACAUUCUAUGUGCAAUCAAUUUAUCAUCAAAGCUCAGCUCAAUUGUUUUUUCUAUAUCUGUACUUUAUGUUAGUUUAGCAAAUAUUUUAAAUUAUUAUAAAGCACAUAUUACAACUUGGUUUAAUUUUUGGCGUGAAAACGUAUACACUUUCUGCCUAGUUCAUUGUGAAAAUCCAGUUAAUGAUAAACUCUAUGCUUUCGAUUAGCUCGUCUGCCGAUGGCGUAAUUUCCGAAUUCCUCACGAAUGUUCCAGAAAAUCCUAAAUUCUUUACUAUUUUUCAGAAUUAAAGACACAUCAAAACGUCAUAUCUUUCAAACCUAAUGGUAUAUUUUGUGAAGAGAAGUUAACCACACUUUUUCUAGCUUUAUUUCCAAACGGGGGCCUCAAAAAGCUUUUGCCAAAGAAGACUUGUAAUUAUAAAACACCUGAAAAACUAAAAUCAUCGAAGGCCAGGUUGGCGACGCGUAUUCUUGGGGAAUUAACACACAUAAACGCUGUUAUUGCUUGAGAAUACACGUAGUUUGUCUGGUCGAUCUCUUCAGGGAAGAUUUGCUGAAUAUCAUUUAUGGUUUUGCAAAAAUUUAUUGAGAAUAUGGAAUCACACUAAAUGAAAUAAAAUUGUAUAAAAAUAGAUAAGUCACUUACAAUGUUAUAGCAAUGUUAUAUGCUGCGAAAACAAGAUAAAUUGUAGCGAAGAGGAGUUAGUAAUAGCUUGUUACGCAAAUACUACUUAAUGUACAUUCGAAUGAAUCUUGUAAAUCUGUCAUCUUUUUUUGCAUAUCUUUUCAUCGUCAAAGCAAUUAUUAGUGCCUCGU